CCUACGGGUGGCAGCAGUGAGGAAUAUUGGUCAAUGGGCGGGAGCCUGAACCAGCCAAGUCGCGUGAGGGAAGACGGUCCUAUGGAUUGUAAACCUCUUUAGGCGGGGAGCAAUGCCGGGCACGCGUGCCCGGAGGGAGAGUACCCGCAGAAUAAGCAUCGGCUAACUCCGUGCCAGCAGCCGCGGUAAUACGGAGGAUGCGAGCGUUAUCCGGUUUUAUGGGGUUUAAGGGGUGCGAAGGCGGUCUGUUAAGUCAGCGGUCAAAGCCCGGGGCACAACCCCGGCCCGCCGUUGAAACUGGCAGUCGUGAGUGGGAGAGAGGUAUGCGGAAUGAGGGGUGUAGGGGUGAAAUGCUUAGAUAUCGCGCAGAACUCCGAUUGCGAAGGCAGCAUGC
rnacentral:rRNA from 1 species